UUCGUUUUAAAUUAAGAAAUGUUAAAAUUAUUAAGUUAAAAACAUUUGAUUUUAAUGACACUUAAAAUUAGACACAAUAUUAUAGGUUACUAACUAAAAAUUGAAAAAACAACAAUCAAUAAUAAAAAAUAAUAAUAAAAAAUUGAAAAAAUCAAAAAAUUCUUAAAAAAUUGCAAAAUAACCCUUUUUCGGGUUAAAAUUGAAAAAAGAUGUUACAUAAAAAUAGUUUGUAAGAUUUUCUAACAGCAUAUAAGCAAAGUAUUUUGAUUUAUUUAAAAAUAAUUGAAAAUAGAUUUUUCAAGGACGGUGUCGAGGUCACGGGGUCGGUGUCGUUUUUCGAAAUUUGUUAACUUAAUAUAAUAGAAGAUGUUUCGUUUUACAUUAAGAAAUGUUAAAAUUAUUAAGUUAAAAACAUUUGAUUUUAAUGACACUUAAAAUUAAACACAAUAUUAUAGGUUACUAACUAAAAAUUGAAAAAACAACAAUAAAUAAUAAAAAAUAAUAAUAAAAAAUUGAAAAAAUCAAAAAAUUCUUAAAAAAUUGCAAAAUAACCCUUUUUCGGGUUAAAAUUGAAAAAAGAUGUUACAUAAAAAUAGUUUGUAAGAUUUUCUAACAGCAUAUAAGCAAAGUAUUUUGAUUUAUUUAAAAAUAAUUGAAAAUAGAUUUUUCAAGGACGGUGUCGAGGUCACGGGGUCGGUGUCGUUUUUCGAAAUUUGUUAACUUAAUAUAACAGAAGAUGUUUCGUUUUAAAUUAAGAAAUGUUAAAAUUAUUAAGUUAAAAACAUUUGAUUUUAAUGACACUUAAAAUUAAACACAAUAUUAUAGGUUACUAACUAAAAAUUGAAAAAGCAACAAUCAAUAAUAAAAAAUAAUAAUAAAAAAUUGAAAAAAUCAAAAAAUUCAUAAUAAAUUGCAAAAUAAACCUUUUUCGGGUUAAAAUUGAAAAAAGAUGUUACAUAAAAAUAGUUUGUAAGAUUUUCUAACAUCAUAUAAGCAAAGUAUUUUGAUUUAUUUAAAAAUAAUUGAAAAUAGAUUUUUCAAGGACGGUGUCGAGGUCACGGGGUCGGUGUCGUUUUUCGAAAUUUGUUAACUUAAUAUAAUAGAAGAUGUUUCGUUUUAAAUUAAGAAAUGUUAAAAUUAUUAAGUUAAAAACAUUUGAUUUUAAUGACACUUAAAAUUAAACACAAUAUUAUAGGUUACUAACUAAAAAUUGAAAAAGCAACAAUCAAUAAUAAAAAAUAAUAAUAAAAAAUUGAAAAAAUCAAAAAAUUCUUAAUAAAUUGCAAAAUAAACCUUUUUCGGGUUAAAAUUGAAAAAAGAUGUUACAUAAAAAUAGUUUGUAAGAUUUUCUAACAUCAUAUAAGCAAAGUAUUUUGAUUUAUUUAAAAAUAAUUGAAAAUAGAUUUUUCAAGGACGGUGUCGAGGUCACG